GAUGAACGCUGGCGGCGUGCCUAAUACAUGCAAGUCGAGCGAACGGACGAGAAGCUUGCUUCUCUGCUGUUAGCGGCGGACGGGUGAGUAACACGUGGAUAACCUACCUAUAAGACUGGGAUAACUUCGGGAAACCGGAGCUACUACCGGCUAAUAUUUUGAACCGCAUGGUUCAAAAGUGAAAGACGGUCUUGCCGUCACUUAUAGAUGGAUCCGCGCUGCAUUAGCUAGUUGGUAAGGUAACGGCUUACCAAGGCAACGAUGCAUAGCCGACCUGAGAGGGUGAUCGGCCACACUGGAACUGAGACACGGUCCAGACUCCUACGGGAGGCAGCAGUAGGGAAUCUUCCGCAAUGGGCGAAAGCCUGACGGAGCAACGCCGCGUGAGUGAUGAAGGUCUUCGGAUCGUAAAACUCUGUUAUUAGGGAAGAACAUAUGUGUAAGUAACUGUGCACAUCUUGACGGUACCUAAUCAGAAAGCCACGGCUAACUACGUG
rnacentral:rRNA from 1 species